rnacentral:misc_RNA from 1 species
GUGAAUUGAAUAUGUUAGCGGACCUCUUCGGAGUCCCUAGCAUCAAAUCAUAUCCAUAACACCUGUGAACUGUAAGGCUGUCUUGAAAACGAAAGUGAUUAGAGCGCCUGCCCAUUUUAUACAAACAUUAAAGUAACAAACGUAGUCCUUAUUAUAAUCCUAAUA